GACGAACGCUGGCGGCGUGCUUAACACAUGCAAGUCGAGCGGUAAGGCCCUUUCGGGGGUACACGAGCGGCGAACGGGUGAGUAACACGUGGGUGACCUGCCCUCAGCUCUGGGAUAAGCCUGGGAAACCGGGUCUAAUACUGGAUAUGACUCCAUGACGCAUGUUGUGGGGUGGAAAGCCUUGUGCGGCUGAGGAUGAGCCCGCGGCCUAUCAGCUUGUUGGUGGGGUGAUGGCCUACCAAGGCGACGACGGGUAGCCGGCCUGAGAGGGCGACCGGCCACACUGGGACUGAGACACGGCCCAGACUCCUACGGGAGGCAGCAGUGGGGAAUCUUGCGCAAUGGGCGAAAGCCUGACGCAGCGACGCCGCGUGAGGGAUGACGGCCUCGGUGUAAC
rnacentral:rRNA from 1 species